GCCCCCGUUGUCUAAUGGUUAUGACGUCAGACUUCUACACUUUGGUGUUAUCUGGAGGUUGCGGGUUCGAGUCCCGCCGGGGGUU